GGUUUAAUUCGAAGCAACGCGAAGAACCUUACCAAGUCUUGACAUCCCGAUGACAGAGUAUGUAAUGUACUUUCUCUUCGGAGCAUCGGUGACAGGUGGUGCAUGGUUGUCGUCAGCUCGUGUCGUGAGAUGUUGGGUUAAGUCCCGCAACGAGCGCAACCCCUGUUCUUAGUAGCCAGCGGUUCGGCCGGGCACUCUAGGGAGACUGCCAGGGAUAACCUGGA
rnacentral:rRNA from 1 species